UGCUUUCAGCAAUCCUUAUUAAUUGAGCUUGGCAUUAAUAUGUUCACUAGGGCAGUAAAGAGUUAUUGAGCGUUUCAUUAUGCAUUUGGUACUGUGCUAGGGAUGUUACAGUCUAUUACUGCAUUCAGCAACUCUUCAGAACGAAUACAUAAGAAGCAGAACGUCAGAAAGGUUAGGUAAUAUACCUGAGGUCACAUGAAGUCUCAUUGCUGGUAAGUGGAGGACCUGGGAAUGAAACUGUGGCAGCUUCCAAAAGCCUUUGCUCUAAAACAAAAUUUAUAUUUUCAUGCAUUUAACAGUUAUUAAAGAUUUGAUGGGGAAACAUAAAGACUGUCUUUAUCUUUAAAGAAUUCUGAGCAAUGGAAGGGACUCAUAAAUAGGUGUGUGAAAUGUGAGAAGUCUGGUAACAGAGAAUGUGCUUGAGGAGCACAGUAGAGUGAAGGUCUACUUUAACCAAGAAGUUGGCACUACAGUAGGCACCGUUGGAGCUGGGUCUUGAAGUAUGAGCAGGAAUUUGUUUACUGUGCUAUCCUAGUUUAAAAUACAUGCACGUGGCUUAAAAAAUAAGGGACAAAGGAAAUUACCCUAAAUAGUUGCUGUCCCACCUUACUGCCAACUCCUAGUCCCCCU
rnacentral:lncRNA from 1 species